GAGACGAAUUUUGGUCCCUAAGAGACCUCAUGAUGCAAAGGUAUGCAUGCAAAAUAAAAUCUUCAUGGUGAAUAAUUACCACAAAGGAAAAGAAAUCAGGAGAAACUGAAAAAUCCACUAGGAGUAACACACUCACUAAGGAGACAGAGACUCUAGGGGGAAAUAAGGUAAAAAUGCGUGAGCAGGUCACGACAUGAAAACUUGCUGGGAGACACGAAGGGAUUCCACGAAAAUAAAUCGAUGGAAAGACUCGAGCUGAC
rnacentral:lncRNA from 1 species